UGUCAGUUUUAACAAAUAUGUACAAAAAGAAAACAUAUGGUUUAUACAAGUUAUCUACUGAAGCCUUCAGUGUUUCAAGUUACCUACUGAAGCUUCAAUGUUUCAUGUCAUAUGACCUCCUUGGGACAUAAGAAGUUAGGGGAUGAGGUUUUAGGCAGCAAAGAGCAAAAUGAGGGCUUAAAGAUGGCAGAAUAAACAGUUGGUUAGAAUAACAGUUUGAAAAUGCAAACACUCUUGUUGUGGCACACUAAAUUGGCUUCUCUAACUCAGUUGUCUUUCUUUAAAAUGCUGUGGGACAUAUUGAAACCCUUAGUUUGUUCUCUCUUUUAACUAAUAAUCAGCCCCUCUACACUGGGCCUCCUUGUAUCCCUCCUCUCCUGCCAUGACAGCCCCUGCUUACCCACAGCUGCAAUGCAGCCCUCUGUGUGGGAAUAACACACAGGGCUUUCUGAAGUCUGGAGAGUAUGGGAUUUGAUUUAAGUUUUUUUUUUUCAGAUCUACGGAAAAUAUGGAAAAAUAUUUUUAUUUACAUCUAUCUAGAAUAGAUGGAAUAUAUAUUCAGGCAUCUGCUGGUCCGUCUGUCCAUCCGUCCGUCCAUCCAAACUAAUUGUACCGACCGUGCUGCCACUCCUUCUCUCUAAUUUUUGCCAUUUUUGCUCAUGCUGACAUUUAAAAACACGACUGCUUUAAAGAUGAAGGAUUAGUGCCUUUUCAGGAUUCCAAAAGAGUGAAAGUAUGCAUCAGACAGGAGACAUUACAAUACUGCCAAAAGUUUUUGGUAUUUUUGGCCAAAUAUAAAAAUGCUGAUAGAUAAGAGGCUUGGCACUUUAGUCAAUGUCUUUGCAGCAUCCCCUUUUCCUGAAAUAGGUUGCAGGAGUAAAUAACUACUAACCUGUAUUUUAGAAAUCUCAGAAAGCCACACCCAAUGAUGGUAUUGUACAGCAAUACAUUAUUAGCUUGCAUUGUUAAUGAUAGGAAGUUUAGUCAGUGAGUGGAACAAUAGCUGUAGUUAAGUUGGAUGUGAUGUAAUUCCCACAUCCAAAAUUUAUUUACAGGAGUAAACAAGAUUCAGCUUUUAUGUACAAACCUACUAGAAGCGUUCUAUUGGUCAAAUCCGAAAAUCCUGGACAAAAUUUGAUAAAAUUCUGAAUGAUUUAUGGCUUCCUCUUUGAGGUAUACAGAAAGAUGAUUUGUCAACAUUAAUUUCACUGACUAGGCAUUGAUAAUAAAAGGUUUGAAAAUCAUAUGCAACAUCGCUUUAAUUUUUUGUCUCUUAUUUCUGUCUCUUGAGGAUACUCUUCAUGCCUGUGGUCAUGGCCCUGGAGACUCUGGAUUCCUACUGCUAAACAAUUCAUUGACUUAGCCUUGUAUAAAUCUGCCUGGGUGGGAAACAAUUUGUGGGUGAUUACAUGUUUCUUGCAUUCAUUCCAGUGGAUCCAGCAUACUCCCGUUGGAUUUACAUAUUCACAAAGCUUCAUGAAAUCUCUAAACAGAUAACUUUUUUUCUGUGCAUAAAAUAAUCAAAGAUGUAUGACUUUCAGGUUUCUCACUUAAAGUUGAACAUCAUUUUAUGUUCACUUAGUGAAGCUCAAUUCCAACCAAGCCAGGUGAUUUCAUUUUGCCUACUGAUCUCAGAGGUCAGAGAGGGUGUAUGGUUAGGGGCCGGGGUAAUAACUUACUGAGGUCACACACUCCUCUAAAACAGCAAAACAAGCCCCACAUCAAGGGAGCUUUGAGAAGGAAAUGAGCAACAAAAGAGAAGCACACAGCAGGAGUCAGUGAAGCCACAUUUCCAAUGUAUUAAUAUAUUUCAAAAUAACGCACACUUAUAGUGGAUUAUGAGAAAGUUUUGAGUGAAAGACAAGGUGGCUGGUAAAUGGUUUAUUUUCUUCAAUUUUUAAAAUGUGUACAAACAUGACAAAUAAAGGAGUGGUUUGAGUUAUAUAAAAGCUGAAAUCUGAAUGAGAACAUUACCUUUUUAACAGCAAAAAUGGAACUGGUGCUUUGGCUAAAAAAAACAUCCUUAACUCAGAGGUUGUCGUUUUCAUUCAGACUUUGGUUUUCUUUCAUCUAAAAGCAAGCUCCGCUGACCAAAGAGCUAUUUUAAUACUGGACACACAGGCUGGAACUCCCAAGCUUGAAGCAAACUCUGCUCUAAUGGACAUAACAUUACCCAGUGAGAAAAUGAAAACGCUAAAACACAAUGCAAGUAAUGCAAUGCAGAAAGAGAGCUUCAUGUGGUUGUAAAUAAUAGUCUGGAGUUGUUUCAACAAUAACAGCCCUCUGAAACCAGAGCCAUAUUAACAAACCUCUAGAUUUCCCCUCACUGAAAGGAUGUUUUUCUCUCCGCUCCGUUGGGAAACACUGUUGUAGUGAUGGGAUAAGUUGUCACAUUUAGCUAGUUGUGUACAACGUGGAGGUCCAUCUUGCUUCAAUUAAAAGCUCCAACACGUCUGGUUUUGAUUAGGGGUCCUGGCAAACCCAAGGUGAUUCCUUUCUUAAUGAAAACCACCAUAGAGGUUGAGCAGUGCUAAAAAAACUGGUUAACAAAGAAUAAUAGUUGAGAAGAGAAGGUAUCUUGCUCUCAUCCUUCUUCCUAGGCCAUUUCCUUCCUUCUGGCCUAUAUAGUUUACACGCCAGAUGGACAGACAUAACAAUAAUGUGGGUGACGGGGGAAGGUGCUGAAUGGUUCAUGAAAUACAUCCGUCUCCUUCUAACACUUCUUUAUCCAGCUUCAUUCCUGCAGAUUUUGCCUCAUUCCCCGCUUGUUCAUUCACCUCGCUCUUCUCCAUCCCUUUAAGCUUCGUGUGGGUUUUUAUGAAGCCACUCUGUCUCACCAGAAGCAGACUUCUGCUUCUGGUUAGAGGGCCUGAAGAUUUGCUCCAGAACGUUGGUCUGUUUUUUGAGAUUUGAGACUGAACCAUUGGUUUCCAUCCUUGGCCACACAGUCACCUCAUCCCUCAUCAGGAGACCAAUGGUAUUUAUUAUUUCCAAUACCACUACAUCUUAUCUUGCGACCUUGUCACACUGUAAGUUCAGAUUCCAGGAGGACCACUACCACAGAUGCUGAAUCUAAACUGUUAGGCUCGUUGUACAUGCUGAGACUGACAAAGCUCUUCAGUGAAGAGGAUCUUCAGCAAGGAGGGAGGUAAUGGGUAACUGACAGACAGUGACGGGAUAAUGUAUGGCCCUCUAGUAUCAUAUACGUCACAGUAUGCUUCAGUAGCCACAAGACUUUCUCCAACACUGUGUUUUGGCCUCUGUAAAGGUCAUGAAAAUGUGUUGCGGAACAGGAGUGGAGAAAUUUGUUUGGAGCCAAAGGCAGACGGAAAGUUUGGAUGGGAAAAGAUGCACACCGCAGUGUCGUCUCCUAACAUUGGGCGUUUCUCAAAAUGUGGUCGUCCAUAGGGCGGCACGUCUGUGUCUCACCGCCCUCCAUCUCAGAGCUCAAAGGAGAGGAAGCCUGGAGAAGACAGGACAAUAAAAUAUGACGAUGACAAACCCACAGACGGACUCCAUCUGAUAGACUUAAAAAGUAUUCAGGAUGCAUGAUGCAUUCUGGACGUUGACAAAGACCCAUCCCAUCAUUGAAGAAUACAUUUCAAAAGCAAAAAGGAAUAAUUAAGGCUCAAAACUUUGUGAUAAAGAAAAAUUGAACAAUGUGUGUAAUGUGAGUAAUGUCUGGGAUCUUGCUUAGAAGUCCAUGAAAAUGUGUAAUCAUAAAGUGUUUGAAAGAAAAACUUAAA